UCUUUUUUAACCUCACUGUUACCUCUUGCAGGUGAGAACUGUCACAAUGACACCUUAAAGGGGUAAAUUUCUUCUGCUGUGUUCCUUGUGGUAUGUGGAUGAUCUGACUUGGAUUUCUGCUGUGCUGUUAACACAUCUCCAUUUCCCUAUGAAAUAACAUCUCAGCAGGAGGGAUGGGCCACCAUGAACACUUUUAUUAAUCUGGUCGCCAGGGUUUCUAAAAGUGGCCCUGCAGGAAUGUCCUAAAUCAUAAAAUGGGAAGAAAUAUUCAAGGUCUUACCAUGACACAGCUGGACUUCAAACCCCAGAAGAGUCACUAUGUCAUUAUGGAAACAGGAAAUACAUACAGCAAAGCAUCACAAGAUAUGAGGAUAACAAUGGGCUGUGCUAGAUAAAGCUACUGUUCACUUUUUAUUGGAAUGAUCCACUUUUAGCUGCCUAUAGAUUUGCCAGACUUAGCCUAGAUGUUUUCCCCUUAGAAUCGUAGAAUCAUAG
rnacentral:lncRNA from 1 species